UACAAGUGGUUACAAGUUCCAGCCCUCCAUGUGGAGAAAGAUAGAUGAGAUCCCGUUUGAUUUUAUUCGGAGAAGAAUGUAUAUUAUUCUGGAAAAAGAACCAAAUACAGAAGACAUAAGCAAUCCAUUUCUUGGCAGAUUCAUGGUAACAAAAGGUGCACUUGAAGAAGUAAUGAAAGUUUGUUCUUUUGUUGAGCAUUUUGAUAGGGGUGGAGUGACACGUUUCUCUCUAGAUGACCAUCACAGGAUUCUAGAUAUGGUAGAAGAUCUGAGCAAUGAGGGACUGAGGGUUAUAGGCGUUGCAAUAAAAAAGCUAAAACCAGUGAGUUUGGACCUCCCUUCUUUCCUUUUCUCUCUCUAAUAUCUGAAUUUCUUAUUAUUAUGGGGAUCGAGUACUAUAAUUUCAUAUGCUUAUGGUGAUAAUGAAUUCAGAAUAAUGUUUUCUUAUUUAAUAGUUAGUCAUUUUUUAAAAGACUGAAUAAGAGUCCAAUCACCAUGCACUCGAAGACACAGUAUCCUUAAUUCAUUUACCUUUAAACUCAGUCAAAGACAGUCAAGUAAUUUCAUCCAGUAAAUAUAAAAGAAGAAAAGAUACCUUCUAAUGUUUAGGACAUCUCAAGUUCUGUUCCUGCCAACAUUAGGAAAUUGGUAGUGAACUGAAAUUUUAGUCAGCUAGCUAAAAAGUAGGUAGGAGAGUGUCUACUUACAGUUUGUAGUCAUGUUGCAGGAGACAAGUGAGCUUGGUAUGGCAAAUGAGCACACUGCUGAAUCAGAUAUGGUGUUCCUUG
rnacentral:lncRNA from 1 species